rnacentral:tRNA from 1 species
GCUCUCUUAGCUCAGUUGGUUAGAGCGUGGUGCUAAUAACGCCAAGGUCAUAGGUUCGAUCCCUAUAGGGAGCA